UAAAGGAAUGUCGACUAAGAACGCAACAUUCUGUUGCAACGUCGACGGUAGUACAUCCUGUA
rnacentral:sRNA from 1 species